UUAAAACAUUGGAAUGAGUGAAAAAAAUACGAGUAAUAAAACAUUCGAAUUAAGACCGAGAAUUUUCAGAUUGUUUUUUGUCGCUCGACGACGAGCAAUUCCUGACGUAUUUUUCUCACGUUAUUAUUUUUCCAAAUGAACUAUGCGCGAGGCAUAGAAAACAAUUGAUAUUUCCUUUAUUAGACUAUUGAAAUGACCGGAAAAAAUACGACCAAAAAAGCACUGAAAUCGCGACCGAAGACUUCUACUAAAAAAAAACAUUUUCCUUAUCGAGACAUUGACACGAGGAAAAAAAUACAACUCCAAUAAAAUAUCAAAAUUGAGAGCAAGAAAUUUCUGUCUUUAUUCUCCGUCGACGGGGCCACGAAUCACAUAAUUUCACAUAAUUUUCCUUCCCUUUAUGAAACGCUUGUGAAUGAAUUUAUUUUAACGGAUGAAAAAUAAAAGUUCUUCCCCAUUGGGACUCCCGGGUGAGUAAAAAAAGGAGCCUCAGUCAGCGCUGAAUGGAAAAAUUCCGGAAAAUAUUUUUUUUUCCGUAUUUAAUUUUAAAAAAUGUCAGUGGGCCCCUGUAUCUCCACGGACGAGUGCCCACCAGUUCAGAAACUCGCUGCUGACUUGACUGUGUAGAUCAUCCGAUGCCAGAGAAUAAUUUCUCCCCACCAAGUCAGAGACUAUCGUGGCGGGCUUGCCUUGGCUGACUCGGCGCAGUUGCCAGUGUAAAGCUACUGCAGCCAAAGAAAAUUCAUCGAAAACAUUUUUAUUGCGUGACGAGCGGUGCACCAGCGUCACUAAAAUUUCUCAUUUCGGACUUGUUCCCUUCCUGGCAAUCUUAUCACAGGAGACUAGGCGGUAGUAAACCGAAGGGAAAUUGAUCAUUCUACGGUAGUUUCUUUAUGCCGGACUAUUGGGGCCUUUUUUUUCAUGCCCAGAGCCGCCACCGUGUAUUGGCUCGAAGCCGCCGCUGCUGCUGGUGCCCAAGGGAGCGUGCGAGGGCGCGCUUCGAGGCCUUACAAUGUAUAGAUGGAGAAAUUGCAGUUUUUGUUGUCGGAAUAUUUUAAGUCUUCAAGGUGAAUGGAUGAAUCUUUUGACGGAAUUUUACGAGUGUGAAGUUGGCUGCUAAUGACAUGCGCGGAAAGGUUCCCGUCCCACGUGUGCGAAAUAAUAUUUUUAUGAUUUUCUGUGAAAAAGUAACUUUUUCAGUCCGCCCCGCCUAAGAUGUCCAAGUCUAACAAUUAAUUAUUAUCAUAAUUAAAAUAUUUCUCCUCGUUCAAUUUUUUAGCAAUCGUUCAAUCCAUCCCUUUCAACUAAUUAACGACUUCGUUCUGAGAUUGAAAAAUUAAUCUACAAUACACCGAACAAAUAAAAUCACCAUAUUCAUAAAUAGAUUUUACUUUUUUCAUUUGUUGUACCAACUAAUAAAUAAAUAAAUAAUCUAAACUAGGAACACUCGACCUAGCUGACUCAUACAAGUUCUUGAAUCGAGAAAGGCUAAUUCUCGUUUGACUUCUACUACACUUUAGCAAAAAUAAAAAAAUCUCACACUCGGUAAUUAUCAAUGAACAAGUUUCUUGACGCAAAUGAGAUAUACUUGGGGAUUUUUAUCCGCUUGAGAAAUGGUCCACACACCAGCUCCUCUCGUUUAUAUGUCAAUUACAAUGAAUGAUAAAAAAAUAGUAUUUAUGAAGAGGUUUCAGUCUGUGAUCUCUCGAAAUGGGAAUAAUUUGAGGACUCG